AGUGAACGCUGGCGGUAGGCCUAACACAUGCAAGUCGAACGGCAGCACAGUAAGAGCUUGCUCUUACGGGUGGCGAGUGGCGGACGGGUGAGGAAUACAUCGGAAUCUACUUUUUCGUGGGGGAUAACGUAGGGAAACUUACGCUAAUACCGCAUACGACCUACGGGUGAAAGCAGGGGAUCUUCGGACCUUGCGCGAUUGAAUGAGCCGAUGUCGGAUUAGCUAGUUGGCGGGGUAAAGGCCCACCAAGGCGACGAUCCGUAGCUGGUCUGAGAGGAUGAUACGACAAACAGGAACUGCGAGACGGGGCAGAGUCGUACAGGCGGAAGAAGUGGGGAAUGUUGGACAAUGGGCGAAAGGUUGAUUAAGCAAUAGCGCGUGGGUAAAGAAGGUCUUCGGGGUGUAAAGCUAUAUUGUUGGGAAAGAUAAGUAGAAGGGUAAUACAGUGGUGUGAGGAAGGUAACAAAAGGAUAAGAGACGGCUAAAUUAGGG
rnacentral:rRNA from 1 species